ACCUCUUUGCUUCUCAGCAACUUGUCUGCCCCACCCCAAACCCACACCUCCCAGCCAUGGCCUGGAGCCCUGGCCACACAGACCUGAGACCAUGCAUCUUUUUGACAUAUCCUUCACGGUUCCCAGGGCGUCAUUACUCAGGCAGCAACUGUCUCAGAACCUCAGCGUGUGAUCCCGGCCCCUGCAGCAGCCCCUCUCCCACCCAUGAGGGGCUUCCAGAUGCUCUGUUCAGAUAUUUGGGUUCUGGGUCUGGAUCCUGGUAGCCACCACCCAGGUAGCAAACCCAUUGCUGCAAGGAUGGGUGAUGUAUGUCUCACUCACCUUGUUUCUCAUCUCCCUGGUGUUCCUGUUGUCUUCCUUGUUUGGAUUUGAAUCCUGGAGAGUUCUG
rnacentral:lncRNA from 1 species